rnacentral:tRNA from 1 species
GGUUCCGUCGUUCAAUGGCCAGGACACCGGCUUGUCGAGCCGGGGAUGCGGGUUCGAUUCCCGCCGGAACCA